AUAAAGUUUGGCCUGCCCAUUGAUUUUUAAAAGGCCGCAGUAUUUUGACUGUGCAAAGGUAGCAUAAUCAUUAGUUUUUUAAUUAAAAGCUGGUAUGAAGGGUUAGACAAAAUAUUAACUGUUUCAUAAAAUUAAAUAAAAUUUUAUUUUUUAGUUAAAAAGCUAAAAUUAUAUUAAAGGACGAGAAGACCCUAUAGAUUUUUAUAUUUAUAUUUAAUAUAUAUAUAAUAUAUAUAUAAUUUUUUUUUUAUUUAAAUGAAAAUAUUUUAUUGGGGUGAUAAAAAGAUUUAUAAAUCUCUUUUUUUUUAAAAAAAAACAUUUAUUAAUGAGCAAUUGAUCCAAUUUUAUUGAUUAUAAGAUUAAAUUACCUUAGGGAUAACAGCGUAAUUUUUUUUUAAAGUUCUUAUUAAUAAAAUAGAUUGCGACCUCGAUGUUGGAUUAAGAUAAAAUUUAGGUGCAGAAGUUUAAAUUAUUAGGUCUGUUCRACCUUUAAAUUCUU
rnacentral:rRNA from 1 species